AGAGUUUGAAAUCCUGGCUCAGGACGAACGCUGGCGGCGUGCUUAACACAUGCAAGUCACGGGGGCCCGCAAGGGCAACCGGCGAACGGGUGCGUAACACGUGAGCAACCUGCCGAUCUGAGGGGGAUAGCCGGGCUAACGCCCGGGUAAUACCGCAUACGUUCUCGAGGGGGAGUCCUCUUGGGAAGAAACCUCCGGGGCAGAUCGAGGGGCUCGCGGCCUAUCAGCUAGUUGGCGAGGUAACGGCUCACCAAGGCGACGACGGGUAGCUGGUCUGAGAGGAUGGCCAGCCACAUUGGGACUGAGAGACGGCCCAGACUCCUACGGGAGGCAGCAGUGGGGAAUCUUGCGCAAUGGCCGAAAGGCUGACGCAGCGACGCCGCGUGUGGGAGGACGCUCUUCGGGGUGUAAACCACUGUUGCCCGGGACGAACAUCCACUUUCGAGUGGACUGACGGUACCGGGUGAGGAAGCACCGGC
rnacentral:rRNA from 1 species